AAAAGCGCAAUUUGCCCCUUCGCUCAAAAACGUGCGGACCUUAGGCCGGGUCGGACUCGGGUCGAUCCAUGUCCCAAACGACGCCGUUUUGAAGGGCUAUUUAAGCCACUAACUUCUGGAAAAAAAAUUCAUUUUAAGCCUCCUUUAGAAAAAAAAAACAAAAAAAACUCUCUGAGGAGCUCUACCCCUCCCCAUUCCUCCGGCC
rnacentral:lncRNA from 1 species